AAAAAGGUUCCGGCCUCAGCCGGCGCACCUGGCGGAGGAGGAACCUCGCGACGCGCUCUCGGGCAUCGGUUUCUCCCAGCAAAGCUUGGAGGGUUUAGCUGCGCGGAGAGCUCAGCGAGCUCUUCUGUGUCUGUUUGGGGCGUGUGGGCUCCGGGAGCGUGAGGACCGGGAAGCUAGGAGGCUCCUUCCCUUCUGGCGGCUCCCUCACUGAGACCGGGCGGUUUGGUUGCGGGGGAAGUGGAGACGAGCCACCCUUGACCUUUGACUGCAAGAACUCACCUUGAGCAGGAUAGAGGCACGUGGACGGUGACCCUCGGGAUGCAAUAAAUGCUGAGACAGAUCAGGUGUGCAAGGCACAGAGCUAGAGGCCAGAGGCCUUUCUUCUCCAACCUUCAGUCACCUCUUUUUAAAGUGAAGCCAGCAUCCUCCUCGGGGUUUACUGUGAAAAUUAAGUGAGCUGACGCGUGCUGUGUUUUGAUGUUGCUUGGCUCCUACAAACAUUGAGUGGGCCAGACACUGUUCUGAAAAAUACGCAGUCGACUUUUGAACAGCACAGGCUUGAACUGCAUGCGGCCACUAAUACUCGGACUUCCUUCUGCCUCUGCCAUCCCUAAGACAGCAAGACCCACCCCUCCUGCUCCUCAGCCUACUCGAUGUGAUGAUGAUGCAGAGAUUCAGAGAGUCUAAGCAACUUUUCUAAAUCAUCUAGCUGGAAUUCAGUAACUGAGCCAGGAUCUACCCCAGGUCUGUCUGACUCCAAAGCCUGUGUCUUCCAGCACACACUGCUGCUGCCUGGGCAGGAAUGUGGAUAUGAUGUCUGGAGCUCUAGCAACCAUAUCAGACCACAAGGAUGAAUGUACACCCCAGGAAUGGAAGAGAGGAAAGCCAGAAAAAGACUCGGUCCCUGAUGGCUGAAGAGCUACCAUACCUGCCCCUAGAUCUUCUAUUUCUGAUCAUCUUCUAUGCAAGGCCUGGAAUGUAAUCAUGGAUAGCCAUGGAUGAUCAGCUUUCAUCAUGUGGGCAUGGAACAAGAUGGAAGGAAGCUGGGGCCCUGAGUGACCUGUGGAGCAGAGGCCUUUGCCCACCCUGGGCUGCCUGAUUUCCCCUGGACUAUCAUGAGACAGAAGAAAAAGCUUCUAUCUUAUUUGAACCACUGUGUUUUGGGAACCUUGGACUAGAGCAGCCUAGCCUUCAUACACUAACAAGGUGUAUGUGUCUGCUCUUUGUUGCUUUUGUAGAUGGUUGUGUUAUAAGCCUGAAUGCAGAAGUUGUUCCCCAGACUACUGGAUUUGCUGCCUUUUAAAACAGGUUUAUUGAACUAUAAUUGACAUACAAUGAACUGCAUAUAGGUAAAGUGUACAAUUUGAUAAGUACACUUUUUGAGCAAAUCCACCCUUUGUUCUGGAAGAAGACACUCUAUAGUCUCAGGCUGUUUCUUUACCAACAUCAACAAGCUAGUCUUAAACAGAGGAACCUCAGUGCCUCACUUUCAAGACAAUCAAGAUUAUUUCCCAACAUUCCACUAGUAGAGGGUCAGAAACAGAGUUAAAAGUUCUCAGACUAGAGGUAGAAUUGAAACCCCAGCUGAGAAGUAUCAAGGUGCCCUCCUUCCCCAAAGCUACAUAUUCUUGUGUCAGGAUCUUACCAGGAAAUGGAAGGCACAUUUACACAGGGCAGCCCAAGAGACUGUUUCAAAGGAAACCAGCAAGAUGUGACAAAGCACCCCAAGACUAGCGACACUGGGAGACCUUCUCACUUGACUUAAAAGGCUGGGGCAGGAGAGUUACAGGACCCAGUAUUAGCUGUAGCCAAAGCCUGGGCAGGGCCACCUAACAUGAGCUGCACCCUUCUGUAGAGCAGCACAGACCUUGUGCAUCUGAGGCCCAGCAGGAUGGGGCCUUGCUCAUCCUUCCCUUGCAGUUCUUGCUAAUGCUUCCUGUUGCCUGAACCCAGCUGGAAGCCAGAGGGCAAGGGAAAUCAAUUGAGACAGAUAAUGGAGGUAAUCCCCUGGGCACAGGGCAGCAUGGCAGAGGUAAGGAGUCUGUCUAGAGCCACAAAGGAAGAGGACUGAGUCCAGAGGUGAAAGCAGUCACGUAUCCCCAAAGACACCUGCUACACAUUUGGGCUUUGAUUUAUCAAUGAGAAGGCUUGAGGGACAGUGGGAAAAAUGAUGAGGAGUCAUUAGGUCCUUGUGGAAAUGGUGCCCUUGAAGGAUGAGCCUGUAAUCACUAGGUACACGUGGGUGGAUGAAUGCUGGUGAAACAGGUGGAGGGAAUGAAAGGACAGAGGCAGCACGAGAACACUGUAAGCAGAGCAGAAGUCCAUGCAAAAGCCAGAGAUGUGAGACAGCACGGGUACAUAUAGGGACCCGCAGGUGGUCUGGAGUGGCUUUGCUGUGGGUUGUGAUGAGAUAUCCACUGUGUUGGAGCUCUGGAACAAAAAGGAGGUCAUCUAAGCUGGUUGCUUCUGUUUUUUUCUUUUCUUUUUUUUCCGGAUGCAUUUCAAUUAGGUGAGGGGUACCAGGCAGAAACCCCUCCUGAAUAUAAACCCUCUGUCUUAUUGUACCAGUUAAAGAUGAACGAUGGCUCACUUCCUAUUGGGUACUAAGUUCAUUAUUUGGGUGACAGGAUCAAUAGAAGCCCAAACCUCAGCAUCAUGCAAUAUACCCAUGUGACAAACCUGUAUCCCCUAAAUCUAAAAUAAUAAUAAAAAAAGAUGUACCAUAGCUCUUAAUUGCUCUUCAAAUCACCCACACCAUUAGAGAAAGCUAUUUCCACCCCAAUCUGAAUUAAAGAAUUCUACAAUCUCCUACAGUCCGAAAGAGAGACUUCAGCUAAAGAGAAAGCUGGUGCUCCUCUUGCUAGCUGAGUGAAUUCUGAUCCUCUUUUUCAUUUUUAUUUUCUUGCUUGAACUCUGCUUUGUUAAAUCAAACACCAGCCCAAAACUGAGCCCAUGGAUCACCAUAUUGGCAGCCUUAUCCUAGAAUCUCAGGGCUGGAAAGAACUCCGAGUACAGCAUUCUCCAGUGUUGGGUGUCAACAGGAGCAGAGUUGGUCUCUUUCGAGAGCUUCCUGGAGAGUCUAUAAAAGCCUGGCUUUUGAACUCUUAUAUUUGGAGGCUGAGAUUCAGAAGGCCUGGGGUGGGGCUUGAGAAUAUAAAUUCUUUAAAAAAAUUUUUUUCUUUUCCUUAGAUAAAUCUUAGAAACCAAAGGGAAUUGAAUUCUUAAGAGGACUUGAAAAUGAUUCUAAUAUAGUCGGGUUAGGGGAAAUCUGGUCUUGAGCUUUUUCUUGGGAGAUGUGGUGAGUCCAAGGCAAGCCAGGCUUCAAUUCUGAAUCUACACUCUUCCCACACAUCUAUGUGGCCUCUGUGCCGAGUCUGAGUUUUAUGUUUUACAAAGAAAACUAGGAGAAAAACUGUUAUUCUUCUGAUUAACAGAAAAGUUGUCCAACUGGCUACACUUGAAUUAUAUCCCCUGAUUAUUAAACUCAGGCUUCUUUAGUUUUCAUUUAUUUUAUUUCAUUGCAUGGAGAUGUUUUAAAAGAGGAAGGCAAGGGGUGUGGGGGAAGGAUUCUGGGAUAGCGACCAUUCUCACCACAUGCAGAAGGCCAAUACUGCUUCCAGAAGGAGACACAAGGAAUCCUUCACUGAGUGAAAGUUUUUUUUCUUCCAGAGAAUAUCAGUAUUCCUACUUUAUAACAAGCCAGGAGCUUUUUCUGCUUCCUGAUUUAAAAAUUGAUUCCUGACUGCAUAGUUCUCACACAAUAGCUUCCUUCUUGCAGGGGCAGUGUGAUUGCCUGGAAUAUAAAUUCUUAGUGGGUUGACCAGGGAUCACGAGCAGUUAUUAUGUUCUCUGCUGCUCUUAACAUGUUGUGAUUCUCAAUAAAUAAUCCAGAGCCAAAGCAUGGUGUUUUGUUUUGCUUUGUCUCAGUGAGUUUUCCAAACUGUAUUUACUAUCUCAAAGUGAGAGCAUCGCAGUUUUCUGAGCCAACUGCAGCAAUUUUCCAGAUCUGGAGAGUAUUUUUGAAGAUUAUUUCUUUGGAGAUUUUCUCUCUUAUUUGGUUUGUUUCCUCUUUGAUAAUUUUUAUUAUUCAUAUGUUGAAUUUUUUGAGCAGAGCUUUAAUUUUCUUAUCUUUUCUCCUCCUUUUUUCCAUUUUUUUCUUUGCCACUUUUCUCCCCCUUCUGGGAUAUUUUCUCAAAUUUUUUCUUCUAAACUUUUAUCUUUUCUGUGAUUAUAAUUUUAAAUUCCAAAAUACCUUUUUUUGGAGAGGGGAGUGGAGGGAAGUGUUCUCUGACUGUUCCUUUUAUAUAGUAGCCUGUUCUUAUUUCAUGGAUGUAAUAUCUUUCCUCUUUCUUUUAUAGUCUGUUUUCCCCAAGUUACUUUUUUCCCUUGUUUGUUUAUUUGUGUCUCUGUAUUUCAUCUCGGAGCAUUCCUUAGGUGUUUGGUGAUUUCCUCCUUCUCCCUCUCUCUGCUCCCUGCAUUGUUAUAAUUAUCUCUGAGCUGACCUCCCAACUUAGGUCUUUCUCAUUUUCUAGUAAACUUGGCAUAAUCCUGUGAAACCCAUCUUUUUUAAGCCCCCAAUUCAACAUGUGAUUCUGUUGGUGAAAAGCCUUCCAUGGCUCCAUAUUUCCCACUUCAUCAGAACUUAACUUUGCCAUUUUUGACAUUUUCAGUCUCUGACCCCACUCAGGCUAGGCACCAUACCUCUUGCCUCAGAAUGUGGAUACUCUUGUGUGUUCAGAGUUGGAGAUUAGGAAAUAAUACUAUUAAAAGUAAUAGCAAUCGAUGAUAAAGCCUUCAUAUGCUUUAUUCACAGACAUUACUGACUUCUCCUGUUAGCUCUGUCGUGCUUACAUCAUGAUGCCCAUUUUUCAGGUAAAGAAAUAGUGGCUCAAACAAGGUGAGUGGCCAAAGAUAACAUAGCUCAUAUGUAGCAAAGCAGGGACUUUGAUCUGGGUCUCAGCACUUUGUCCACCAUGGUGUCCACUGGUUGACUCAGGUGAUUCACCUGGGUAACAAGGCUUCCUGAAGGCCACCUGCUGGUAAAUGUCAUUGCCAGUUCAUUGACCGGGAGCCCCCAUGUGUUUCUACCAAGACCCCGCUCCUCUCUUCGCAUACAGUAAUCUGUUGUAUACACUUUGUACCUCACCCACAAGCGUGUGAAAAGCCUUAGCUGUUCUGGUGCCAGGACUAAUGGGAGCUGCUUACAGUCUAUGAGGACAAUCAGACUUGGCCGCCUGCCUUCUUUCCAUAUAAUUUUUAAUAAGCCAGUAAUAUCUCUCCAAGCACUACAGACCUCUGGCUUGGACCAGGAAACCUGGAACUGUUUAAGAGAACAUUAAUUUCCUUUGAGCUAGGAUUACAGGCCAUCUAAAACUUCUUAAUGAAUGGCCACACUGCCUUUUUGAAGCAUUUGUGUAUUUGCCAACACAGACUCGAAGGUUGCAUUAGAUAUUGGGAGUUGUCUUUUCUGGAAGUUAGGGUCUUCUAGAAGCUGACGGGCGAUGGAGGCCUGAUGCUCUGCCAUUUCUUUGGUGAGACCUCUGGACUGCUUCGUUCAUAGUCCUCUUUCCCACAUAUGCUCCCCUGAUGUCUUACUCUUUUAUUUUAUGGGUUUUUGGUAACUGAAACAUUUUAAGACUCAAUUCCGCCACUUUGUUGAAGAUAAAAUCAAGUUCAAACCCUGCUUUAUUUUAUUUUUCUUUUUUUUGGACGGAACUAGUGAGGAAACUGUGUGUGCAAACCCCAGAAAACCCACUUGAGACCUGAUGCUAAUUGGCUGGAUGAUGUUCAAUAGGACACGGCUCCACUGAGCCUCAAUUUCCUGAUGAGGGUUAAACUGAUGAUUCUUAACCAGGUCUGACAUUCUGUAAAUUAAGCAUACUUGCUUCUGAUUUCACAGUUUCCAUGGGAUCAGAGGAUUGAAAUGUCAAGGAACCUCCCUUGAUGUCCCCCUAAGACUCUGAAUUGAACUGUGAUGAGGACCCUUUUGAGAAUCUUUCAGUGAUCCCCUUCUCUAGGAAGGAAGGGUGAAGUAUGCUUUGUAAGAGAGAUUGUCUAUUUGUCUUUUAUCUCCUGAUUUCAAACACAGUGGUUCCGCUAAGCUGCAUCUUUUUUGUUCUUUCUGCUGUGAAAAUAAUUUUGUCGGAAAAUGUAACCAGUGCAAUUAUACUGAAAUUUCAUAUGAAAUGUUAAUAAAAUGGAUGUGUGACCAAUAAAAUACUUGAUGCCAAAUUAA
rnacentral:lncRNA from 1 species